rnacentral:lncRNA from 1 species
CCCCCAAUUCAGGUGAGAGGGCAUUGUUCGUCCACAAGGCAUCCGGCUGGGCUUGGGGGCAAAACAUGUAAUUACGGGACAAGCCCACUAAAAUAAGGGAGGUGAGGCAGAUGGAUUUCUUGCUCUCACCGACGUCUGGGCCAAACACAUGAAGGAGGAGCCUUGUGCAGCAGCCGGAGGCCGGCCUCUGCGCAGACCGCUGUUUCGUUUCCGCGCUGCUCUCCCGGCUCGGGAGGCGUCAGUGCCCAGUGGCCAGUCGGUCCCCUGGCUGCCGUGUCUGACAGGAUCUCAGACACACACCCUGCCCACGGGCUGUCCCUGGAGAAACAUCAGUGCUCAUUCCUGUCACCGUGACGCAUCCAUGCACGGCCGGGCUACAGGCAGCCCCGGUGUUCUCGGGGAAUGGCUGUCAGUCACCAGCAGUGCUACAGCCGGAGAGAUUACACGGCGCGCCGGCGAGCAGAUGGGCUUGGGCAGAAGCAGAGAGGACGCAGCUCCGGAGAACGCAAGCGGCACGGCCAGGGCUCCUCUGUCCACCUUGGAAGGUCACACCGUCUGAUUAUGGUAAAGAAGACCAGAAACCAAAUCUACCAAGGGUGUAGAAGGCUGAGAAGAGAUGACCUCCAGUGGAAAUUGAAAAGGACCUGGAUCCAGCCAGGAGUCCUGGAAGAGCCAAGCAAAGUCUUUUCCAGCCAGGCAGGUCUAGGGGAAGUUGCCAGUCCCCAGUCCAGAUCCCUAGCAUGUCACAGAAUCCCAUGUGAGUUGCAAAGACUGUGCGAUCCAACCACAAGAAUAGAAAUUAAGAAGAGAAAAUCAUAUUAUACGGCUGUGCUGUCACCAGAGAAUUAAAAUAAGAAAGAUGCCUCUUUGCAGCUGCACGCUGAAAUCCUCAGUAUUAACUGAUCGAAUAACAACGAUACAUACCAAGUAAAAGGUUCUUUGAAAAUCCUCCCAAAUGGUUCAUUCAAUCAACCACAGAUUUGAUUAACUUUAGUUUUUUUUAACUGAAUUAACUGAAUUUACAUAAUAGUAGUGUGUGUGUGUGUGUGUGUGUGUGUGUGUGUGUGUGUGUGUGUGAGACUCUUCCCUGCUGCUGGGAAUAUAAAAGUGUUUAAAUCUCUAAGAGCAGAGGAACCAGUGAGGAAUCUGGCAGACACUGGCUUUGUUGUUGGGAUAUUAAAAUCACGUCCAAGAGAGAAAAAUAGAGCUGAAAGAUUUUUUUAUGGAAAGGAUGCCUGACUACGUGUGUCCUGGUAACUCGUGUAGGAGUGGAGCUCUCUUGGAACAAACUCAGUGGGCGAUGUGAGGGGAACGCAGGCCAGAGCGGCGUGUAGUCAAACAGACCUGCAGAGCCAGGCAAGGCUGGGGAGGAAGGGGCUUUUGUCCGUAGUGUGUUUAUUUGAUUUACUCACUCACCUAGUUCAGGGACCCUAAAGUAGGACCCAGGCACCAGUAUUUUUAACAGGCCCCCAAGGAGAGUUGGAUGCACCGGAAAAGGAGAGGAUCUUAUACACAAAUGUGCAUUCGGUGCACACAGACGCUGUUAUAAAUUGUACAACUGCAUUAAAC